rnacentral:rRNA from 1 species
AGUGAACGCUGGCGGUAGGCCUAACACAUGCAAGUCGAACGGCAGCACAGUAAGAGCUUGCUCUUACGGGUGGCGAGUGGCGGACGGGUGAGGAAUACAUCGGAAUCUACUUUUUCGUGGGGGAUAACGUAGGGAAACUUACGCUAAUACCGCAUACGACCUACGGGUGAAAGCAGGGGAUCUUCGGACCUUGCGCGAUUGAAUGAGCCGAUGUCGGAUUAGCUAGUUGGGGGGGUAAAGGCCCACCAAGGCGACGAUCCGUAGCUGGUCUGAGAGGAUGAUCAGCCACACUGGAACUGAGACACGGUCCAGGCUCCUACGGGAGGCAGCAGUGGGGAAUAUUGGACAAUGGGCGCAAGCCUGAUCCAGCCAUACCGCGUGGGUGAAGAAGGCCUUCGGGUUGUAAAGCCCUUUUGUUGGGAAAGAAAGGCAGCAGGUUAAUACCCCGCUGUUCUGACGGUACCCAAAGAAUAAGCACCGGCUAACUUCGUG